CUGAGAGGUGCCCAUUGUGGUGGGAUGCUGCUGGGUAUGGGUGGCAGAGCUGGGGAUGUGCUGAGCCUUCCAUGCAACUGAAUGGCAGCCGGAGGACCGAGGAGCAGGAGCUCUCCAUCUCUGCCUGGGUGUCCCCAGCUACCACCGCUGCUCUGCUAGCACAGACCCCAAUUCUGCUGCGUGGUCAUGGAGAAAACGCCUGUUCCGUGGAGCUGGGAGAGCAGAACUGGCUGCUGUGGGUGCAUUUGCAUUUGGCUCAGUUGCCCAGUUGCAAAUCAGGGAAGUGUGAAGAGAAGAAGUAGGGCAGAGCGAUGCUCAGAGCGGCUGCUGACCCGGCCCUGCUCAGGCUGUGCUGCUGGAGGCUCAGGAGCUCUCCGAGGCCCUUUGCUGGGACUUCUCUUCUGCUGGAGGAUCUGCUGAGCAAAUUGCUUGGAUGGGAAAUGAGCACCUGGCCUCAUUAACAGUGCCACAUCCGAGAGAUGGUAAUUAUCUGCCUGCGAGGGAGCGGGGCAUCAGACCAGCCGAGAGGUGGAGGUGGCACUGUUGGUUUGAGCUCCUGCAAAGUCAUCAGUCUGGGGGUCAGCUGGGCAGGGCUGGGUGGAUGCAGCACCCAGUGAGGGGGGCUAUGGGGACUGAUGCUGUGUGCUGGGGACAGACCCUUUGUCACACUGCUGGGUGCACCCAAAGCAUUGCUAGCAGCAGGGCAAACCCGAUGCAGGGGAAGCAGGAGGAGGCUUCCAUCUCUUGUGGCUGCUUGCAGUCAUCGGGGUUUUCUGCUGAGAGUUUUUGUGUCCUCGACAGCAGGUGCUAUCAGGCUGCUGGGCUGGGCAGGGGCUGCGUGCCCCCUCCUGCUCCUAAAUGGAGGGUUUCAGAAGCAUUUCACGUGGAUGGGCUCUGCGGCUUUCCAUGAGCCCAGGGACAGAAGCAGCAUACUGCUGUCAGGCUCAGGGCCGGGUCCCCAGCCCAUGUUUGACCCCCAAAUACCCCUCUGCUGCAGAAGCCCACCCACUGCAUCCUGCAUCUCUGCUCCCUGGGUGUAUGCUCACAGCUCUGUCUCCAUUUCCUCCUGGUUUUGGGCACAGGCAGCCAUGCUCUGAGUGCACCCAUGUCCAGCUGGACCCUGGUGAGAACUUGGAGACUGCUGGGUAACUUUAACCAGAUCUGACAGCUCUCCCAGGCACGUCAUUCCAGCAAGUUUCCAAUGAGACAAAUGCAAAGCAGUGAGGCAGCAGUUUGGGGUCAGCAGCAGAUGCAAGGUCUGGGGGGUGGGGAGCCCUGUUCUGGGUACCUGGCUGGGGUGGGAGAGAUGCUCUGUGCUUGCAUAAAGCACCAGGCUGCUAUAAAGAGCC